GUGAAAGCAGUAGAGACAGAAGUUCUUUAUCUACAGAAAAGCAACUGCUCAGACCGUUAUGACAAGCUUCCCUAGACAACCAAGGUAAAAUUUCAAUCUUCAACAUUCAAUCCAACAUAAUUUAGGGAAUGGCCAGCCUCUGGAGAUAAAGGUAGUUCAGUCUCCAUAUCCAUUCAAUCCUUGACCUGU
rnacentral:sRNA from 1 species